rnacentral:rRNA from 1 species
CCUACGGGUGGCAGCAGUGGGGAAUAUUGGACAAUGGGGGGAACCCUGAUCCAGCCAUGCCGCGUGUGUGAAGAAGGCCCUCGGGUUGUAAAGCACUUUCAGUGAGGAAGAACGCCUGGUGGUUAAUACCCAUCAGGAAAGACAUCACUCACAGAAGAAGCACUGGCUAACUCCGUGCCAGCAGCCGCGGUAAUACGGAGGGUGCGAGCGUUAAUCGGAAUUACUGGGCGUAAAGCGCGCGUAGGUGGCUUGAUAAGCCGGUUGUGAAAGCCCCGGGCUCAACCUGGGAACGGCAUCCGGAACUGUCAAGCUAGAGUGCAGGAGAGGAAGGUAGAAUUCCCGGUGUAGCGGUGAAAUGCGUAGAGAUCGGGAGGAAUACCAGUGGCGAAGGCGGCCUUCUGGACUGACACUGACACUGAGGUGCGAAAGCGUGGGUAGCAAACAGGAUUAGAUACCCUUGUAGUC